rnacentral:rRNA from 1 species
UAGGGAAUCUUCGGCAAUGGACGAAAGUCUGACCGAGCAACGCCGCGUGAGUGAAGAAGGUUUUCGGAUCGUAAAAACUCUGUUGUUAGAGAAGAACAAGGGUGAGAGUAACUGUUCACCCCUUGACGGUAUCUAACCAGAAAGCCAACGGCUAACUACGUGCCAG